rnacentral:rRNA from 1 species
GUUUGAUCCUGGCUCAGGAUGAACGCUAGCGGCAGGCUUAACACAUGCAAGUCGAGGGGUAGAGGNAGCUUGCUUCCUUGAGACCGGCGCACGGGUGCGUAACGCGUAUGCAAUCUACCUUUUACAAAGGAAUAGCCCAGAGAAAUUUGGAUUAAUGCCUUAUAGUUUAUGCUUGUGGCAUCACAUACAUAAUAAAGAUUUAUCGGUAAAAGAUGAGCAUGCGUCCCAUUAGCUAGUUGGUAUGGUAACGGCAUACCAAGGCAAUGAUGGGUAGGGGUCCUGAGAGGGAGAUCCCCCACACUGGUACUGAGACACGGACCAGACUCCUACGGGAGGCAGCAGUGAGGAAUAUUGGUCAAUGGAGGCAACUCUGAACCAGCCAUGCCGCGUGCAGGAAGACGGUCCUAUGGAUUGUAAACUGCUUUUAUACAGGAAUAAACCUAUCCUCGUGAGGAUAGCUGAAGGUACUGUANGAAUAAGGAUCGGCUAACUCCGUGCCAGCCGCCGCGGUAA